rnacentral:rRNA from 1 species
GUGGGGAAUUUUGGACAAUGGGCGCAAGCCUGAUCCAGCAAUGCCGCGUGCAGGAAGAAAGCCUUCGGGUUGUAAACUGCUUUUGUACGGAACGAAACGGUCCUGGUUAAUACCUGGGGCUAAUGACGGUACCGUAAGAAUAAGCACCGGCUAACUACGUGCCAGCAGCCGCGGUAAUACGUAGGGUGCAAGCGUUAAUCGGAAUUACUGGGCGUAAAGCGUGCGCAGGCGGUUUUGUAAGACAGGCGUGAAAUCCCCGGGCUCAACCUGGGAAUUGCGCUUGUGACUGCAAGGCUGGAGUGAGGCAGAGGGGGAUGGAAUUCCGCGUGUAGCAGUGAAAUGCGUAGAUAUGCGGAGGAACACCGAUGGCGAAGGCAAUCCCCUGGGCCUGCACUGACGCUCAUGCACGAAAGCGUGGGGAGCAAACAGGAUUAGAAACCCGAGUAGUCC